rnacentral:rRNA from 1 species
UACGUAGGGGGCAAGCGUUGUCCGGAAUCAUUGGGCGUAAAGAGCGUGUAGGCGGCCCGGUAAGUCCGUUGUGAAAGUCCAGGGCUCAACCCUGGAAUGCCGAUGGAUACUGCCGGGCUAGAGUUCGGAAGAGGCGAGUGGAAUUCCUGGUGUAGCGGUGGAAUGCGCAGAUAUCAGGAGGAACACCUAUAGCGAAGGCAGCUCGCUGGGACGACACUGACGCUGAGACGCGAAAGCGUGGGGAGCGAACAGG